ACGGCCACAUCACGUUGAAACCGCGGUUCUCGUACGAUCACCGAAGUUAAGCAACGUCGGGUCUGGCCAGUACGCAGAUGUGUGACAGCUUGGGAAUACCAAACGCUGUAAG